AGGGUUUGAUCAUGGCUCAGAACGAACGCUGGCGGCAUGCCUAACACAUGCAAGUCGAACGAGACCUUCGGGUCUAGUGGCGCACGGGUGCGUAACGCGUGGGAAUCUGCCCUUGGGUUCGGGAUAACAGUUGGAAACGACUGCUAAUACCGGAUGAUGACUUCGGUCCAAAGAUUUAUCGCCCAGGGAUGAGCCCGCGUCGGAUUAGCUAGUUGGUGAGGUAAAGGCUCACCAAGGCGACGAUCCGUAGCUGGUCUGAGAGGAUGAUCAGCCACACUGGGACUGAGGCACGGCCCAGACUCCUACGGGAGGCAGCAGUGGGGAAUAUUGGACAAUGGGCGAAAGCCUGAUCCAGCAAUGCCGCGUGAGUGAUGAAGGCCUUAGGGUUGUAAAGCUCUUUUACCCGGGAUGAUAAUGACAGUACCGGGAGAAUAAGCCCCGGCUAACUCCGUGCCAGCAGCCGCGGUAAUACGGAGGGGGCUAGCGUUGUUCGGAAUUACUGGGCGUAAAGCGCACGUAGGCGGCUUUGUAAGUUAGAGGUGAAAGCCCGGAGCUCAACUCCGGAACUGCCUUUAAGACUGCAUCGCUAGAACGUCGGAGAGGUAAGUGGAAUUCCGAGUGUAGAGGUGAAAUUCGUAGAUAUUCGGAAGAACACCAGUGGCGAAGGCGACUUACUGGACGACUGUUGACGCUGAGUGCGAAAGCGUGGGGAGCAAACAGGAUUAGAUACCCUGGUAGUCCACGCCGUAAC
rnacentral:rRNA from 1 species